rnacentral:rRNA from 1 species
UACUGGGCGUAAAGAGCUCGUAGGUGGUUUGUCGCGUUGUUCGUGAAAUCUCACGGCUUAACUGUGAGCGUGCGGGCGAUACGGGCAGACUUGAGUACUGCAGGGGAGACUGGAAUUCCUGGUGUAGCGGUGGAAUGCGCAGAUAUCAGGAGGAACACCGGUGGCGAAGGCGGGUCUCUGGGCAGUAACUGACGCUGAGGAGCGAAAGCGUGGGGAGCGAACAGGAUUAGAUACCCUGGUAGUCCACGCCGUAAACGGUGGGUACUAGGUGUGGGUUUCCUUCCUUGGGAUCCGUGCCGUAGCUAACGCAUUAAGUACCCCGCCUGGGGAGUACGGCCGCAAGGCUAAAACUCAAAGAAAUUGACGGGGGCCCGCACAAGCGGCGGAGCAUGUGGAUUAAUUCGAUGCAACGCGAAGAACCUUACCUGGGUUUGACAUGCACAGGACGCCGGCAGAGAUGUCGGUUCCCUUGUGGCCUGUGUGCAGGUGGUGCAUGGCUGUCGUCAGCUCGUGUCGUGAGAUGUUGGGUUAAGUCCCGCAACGAGCGCAACCCUUGUCUCAUGUUGCCAGCGGGUAAUGCCGGGGACUCGUGAGAGACUGCCGGGGUCAACUCGGAGGAAGGUGGGGAUGACGUCAAGUCAUCAUGCCCCUUAUGUCCAGGGCUUCACACAUGCUACAAUGGCCGGUACAAAGGGCUGCGAUGCCGCGAGGUUAAGCGAAUCCUUUUAAAGCCGGUCUCAGUUCGGAUCGGGGUCUGCAACUCGACCCCGUGAAGUCGGAGUCGCUAGUAAUCGCAGAUC